GAUGAACGCUGGCGGCGUGCUUAACACAUGCAAGUCGAACGAAGCACUUUAUUUGAUUUCUUCGGAAUGAAGAUUUUGUGACUGAGUGGCGGACGGGUGAGUAACGCGUGGGUAACCUGCCUCAUACAGGGGGAUAACAGCUGGAAACGACUGCUAAUACCGCAUAAGCGCACAGGGUCGCAUGACCUGGUGUGAAAAACUCCGGUGGUAUGAGAUGGACCCGCGUCUGAUUAGCCAGUUGGUGGGGUAACGGCCUACCAAAGCGACGAUCAGUAGCCGACCUGAGAGGGUGACCGGCCACAUUGGGACUGAGACACGGCCCAAACUCCUACGGGAGGCAGCAGUGGGGAAUAUUGCACAAUGGGGGAAACCCUGAUGCAGCGACGCCGCGUGAGCGAAGAAGUAUUUCGGUAUGUAAAGCUCUAUCAGCAGGGAAGAAGA
rnacentral:rRNA from 1 species